rnacentral:rRNA from 1 species
CCGCAAACCGACACUGGUGCGCGAGAUGAGUAUUCUAAGGCGCUUGAGAGAACUCGGGAGAAGGAACUCGGCAAAUUGACACCGUAACUUCGGAAGAAGGUGUGCCCUUAGUAGGUGAAGUCCCUCGCGGAUGGAGCCCAAUGGGGUUGCAAAAAAUCGGUGGCUGCGACUGUUUAUUAAAAACACAGCACUCUGCAAACACGAAAGUGGACGUAUAGGGUGUGACGCCUGCCCGGUGCUGGAAGAUUAAAUGAUGGGGUGCAAGCUCUUGAUUGAAGUCCCAGUAAACGGCGGCCGUAACUAUAACGGUCCUAAGGUAGCGAAAUUCCUUGUCGGGUAAGUUCCGACCUGCACGAAUGGCGUAACGAUGGCCACACUGUCUCCUCCUGAGACUCAGCGAAGUUGAAAUGUUUGUGAUGAUGCAAUCUCCCCGCGGAAAGACGGAAAGACCCCAUGAACCUUUACUGUAGCUUUGUAUUGGACUUUGAACAGAUCUGUGUAGGAUAGGUGGGAGGCUUUGAAGCUGGGACGCUAGUUCCGGUGGAGCCAACGUUGAAAUACCACCCUGGUGUGUUUGAGGUUCUAACCUAGGUCCAUUAUCUGGAUCGGGGACAGUGCAUGGUAGGCAGUUUGACUGGGGCGGUCUCCUCCCAAAGCGUAACGGAGGAGUUCGAAGGUACGCUAGUUACGGUCGGACAUCGUGACGAUAGUGCAAUGGCAUAAGCGUGCUUAACUGCGAGACUGACAAGUCGAGCAGAUGCGAAAGCAGGACAUAGUGAUCCGGUGGUUCUGUAUGGAAGGGCCAUCGCUCAACGGAUAAAAGGUACUCUGGGGAUAACAGGCUGAUACCGCCCAAGAGUUCAUAUCGACGGCGGUGUUUGGCACCUCGAUGUCGGCUCAUCUCAUCCUGGGGCUGAAGUCGGUCCCAAGGGUAUGGCUGUUCGCCAUUUAAAGAGGUACGUGAGCUGGGUUUAAAACGUCGUGAGACAGUUUGGUCCCUAUCUUCCGUGGGCGCUGCAGAAUUGAGGAAGCCUGCUCCUAGUACGAGAGGACCGGAGUGGACACACCUCUGGUGUACCGGUUGUCACGCCAGUGGCAUCGCCGGGUAGCUA